rnacentral:rRNA from 1 species
UACAGGGGGUGCAAACGUUGCUCGGAAUCAUUGGGCGUAAAGCGCACGUAGGCGGUCUGUUAUGUCGGAUGUGAAAGCCCUCGGCUCAACUGAGGAAGUGCAUCCGAAACUGGCAGGCUAGAGUACUAAAGAGGGUCGCGGAAUUCCCGGUGUAGAGGUGAAAUUCGUAGAUAUCGGGAGGAACACCGGUGGCGAAGGCGGCGACCUGGGUAGAUACUGACGCUGAGGUGCGAAAGCGUGGGGGGCAAACAGG